rnacentral:lncRNA from 1 species
UUUAUUUAUUCGUUCUACUAAAUAUUAAGAAGUAUAUUUGAACUGGUUUGUAAUCCGAGUUAAAGUUUCGCUAUCACUGACUUUCACCUAAUAAUUUUUUAAGCAAUUUACCGCCUAAUGGUUACCUUUUCUGACACUUAAUAAACGAUGAUGUUAAAAGAGGAGGCAAUGAGGCUCAAUUACCAAUUUCAAAAAUAAAAAGUAGACGUUUUCUAAAGAAUACUAAUACAAAAUAUUUGAGUAAUUUUUGUAACUUAGGUUGAGCCUAGGUGAGCCAGAUAAAGUUAGUAUUUGCAUAUUGCUUUUACUACCAUG